rnacentral:rRNA from 1 species
GUUUGAUCCUGGCUCAGAGCGAACGCUGGCGGCGUGCUUAACACAUGCAAGUCGAACGCGCAGCAUUCUGUAGCAAUACAGGGUGUGGGCGCGUGGCGAACGGGUGCGUAACACGUGGAUAACCUUCCUUCAGGUGGGGAAUAACCCAGUGAAAAUUGGGCUAAUACCGCAUAACAUGACGAUGGCACAUGCUGUUGUCUUCAAAGCCGCAAGGCGCCAGAAGAGGGAUCCGCGGCCGAUUAGCUUGUUGGCGAGGUAAUGGCUCACCAAGGCAUUGAUCGGUAGCCGGACUGAGAGGUUGGCCGGCCACACUGGAACUGAGACACGGUCCAGACUCCUACGGGAGGCAGCAGUGGGGAAUCUUGCACAAUGGACGAAAGUCUGAUGCAGCAACGCCGCGUGGGGGAUGAAGCUUCUCGGAGUGUAAA